rnacentral:misc_RNA from 1 species
GUCAACAGCACCUGUAAAUGAAUUAUCCUGCUCUGAAUGAGAAACCUUUCCAACUUUUGACAAAAACCGGUAUGGAUUAAAUUUGCUAGCAUCACUGCCCCAACUAGCAUCAUCCAUCUGCAGCAAAUGCACAGGUACAACUAGUACUGCUCCAGCUGGUAUAAUUACACCAUUUUUGAGUAUCAAAUCAUCUUUCAAAGAACAUCUUUGUAGCAAAGGUCCUGGUGACACAAGGCGAGCUGAUUCAUAAAUAGUUGCCA